UCUUUUUUCCUCUUCUUUUUGUAGAAGAAGCUCUGGAUUGCACUGUGCUGUUUCAUACUCUUGUUAGUCAUAGCCAUCAUCAUUGCUACUUCUUUCUCCUCGUGAGAUUACAUUCCUCAAUUGCACUGUCCAUCCCUUGGAAUAAGAGGAGACCUUUUGUUAAUGAUAUCAAGGAGCCUUUUUACUAACAGUUUUUUCCAUUCAAACAGACUUAAAGACAGACUUCUCCCUUUAGUUUUGGAAUUUCAAAUUUGAGCAUCAUUUUUAACCUUGGAUAGUCCUGGACAUCCUUCCACCCAGCAACCAUGAAAAACGCUACCAUAUUAACUGAACCAGUUUAAGUUGUUGUCACAGCUUAAAGGUCACUCAAAAUCGUGGUAGCUGCACACUGAGCUGAAACCCAUGGACUUUCAUCUCUAUUGGAGAAAAUUCCCAAGAAGCUUGAUUUUGUGUACUCAGGAAAAUCCACAGAAAGGAAAAUUCUUAAAUGCAGUUGUUGUUUUACCACACUAAGUGCCCCAUGAAACACUGAGAAUAUUCAACUGACCAUUAUUUACCCCUGACAUUACAUUGACAUGAAAUGUUACCUCUGAGUCACUUGAUUGGACUCAGAAGGUGCUGCUUAGAAGAAAAGGAACUGCACAAAUCCAGCUGGGUCAUCCCUGUACAGAUGUAAAAGUGUUUCCCUGAGAUGCACCAGCUGGCUUUAGAUGACGGCCCUAAGAAGAACUCUGCCAGUGGGUGCCUCAGUGAUUCCCACUUUCUCUCCAGCUUUUGGCCUGUCUGUGGGCCUAAGUGUUUUUUUGCCUUAUAUGAGGCAAUGUAAUGUUAAAGCUUUCAGAACUUGAGUAUUAAGCCUUUCUGAACACAAAGGUGAGGAGAGGCUCAAGAAUGGUGCUUCCAUUUUGUUUUAUCUUAAUGCUCUGUCAGGACCGAUGUCGUGUUCACCUGUAUGCACUGUACGCCCUAGUGCCUCGACCCUACUGCCUUUCCUCCGGCUUUGUUCCUGUGUGCUGUUCACUUGUUUCCCAGUUGGAUAUUAUCCAGUUCUGAAUCAACCUUUAGCUGCUUUUUUCUUACUCUUAGCCAAGGUAAAGGAAUGGGAUAGGCAUGAGUUUGUCAUCACAGACACCUCUUUGUCCCCUAUGCUGUCUAGAAAAAAAGGCCUAAGAAUAAGGGACCAGAGGUUAAAGUGCAGUUGGUCAUCAGUGGGGAAGACUGAUCCUCAGGUGUUUAGACUUUGGAGAUAUGGGUAGGAUGUUGGGUCCAGAGAACACAUUCGAUUUCACUCAACUGUCAUGUUUUAUGCCAAACUUUCAGUCUUCAACUCAUUUACUAGUAAUGUAGAUUUGUUGGUUUUAUUGUGAAAUAAAGAUUUUAUUGUAUACAC